UUUAAACACUACAGUUCACCUCUGGCACCCUGGGAAGGCCAUGCUGACUGCAAAAUGUGCCUCUUCCCACCUACGUCACAAGGUGGAUACUUGAGGAAAAACAGCCAAACUGAUUUGUCACUUAUUUUUGAGAGAAGAACUACGUAGGAUUUUACAAAAGAAAAAAAUUCCAUGCACGUCUUUAACAGAAGCAAGCUAAACAAGACGUGUAGUUAUGUCAUGGAUCACUUACUAUAUUCUCCAUGGUCAAAAGAUUAAACUCUCAGCUUGUGCUUCCAGGUAUUCCAGCUCCUGUGACCUUGCUCCACUUAAAGAGACUCCGCACCAGUUACCACCCUGCGGUGCUGCCUGACUCCAGCAGUGUUCCUACACUGUCCCGUGUGAUCUGCAGUGACUCAUCACCGUCUUCCAGCUUAGAGCGUUGUCCAGUAUCGCUUUUAGCUUCCAGCGGUGUUACAACAUCACUCCUAAUUAUCAUUGGUGUAUCUACAUCGCUCCCCGCAAGCUACAGUGAUUCUUCACCGGCUUCCAGCUCUCAGUGGCUUCCCAGUAGCGCUUCCAGCUUCCAGCGGUGCUCCUGUGUCACUUCAUCUCUCAGCAGAGUUCCUGUAUCACCUCUAACUCUAAACUAUCGCUAUCCGUUCCUUGCGGUGUUCCAGCAUCAAUCCAUCUGUCGGCUCUUUCUCAACAUCGAACCACAGUUCACCAUCGGUACUCACCAUCGGACUCGACCAUCAUCGGUGAGUUCCGCUGCACCUUUCCAUCUGGACCGGUUCCAUCCGGCAUCCCUGGCAGUUCUCAUGAGUUCUUUUCAACCUCUGUGCAUCCAUUUCAACUCAAGCUUCCAAAGUAUCAUCUGCUGGUCAGUACCUGCUCGUUCCCCUCUACAGUGGUUAGCUGUAGCCAACGGACAUUACAUCUCUGGGUCUAGCAGAGACUUUAUUACCAACUCAUUCUAUAUUGCCACAGUAUCUCGGAACUACCACUGCGCUAAAGGAACUGUACUGUUAUCAUUGCACAAUCUACCGUUGAAUUACCUGAACUGCAUAGGUGUAUACGAACUGUGUGUUUAAUAAAGACUUUUAUUUUA